CUUUUUUUUGUUCCUGCGUUUCUCCGUUAAGUUAGCGGAGGAAAAGAAACCAACAGGGAUUGCCUUAGUAGCGGCGAGUGAAGCGGCAAAAGCUCAAAUUUUGAAAUCUGGCUCUUUCAGAGUCCGAGUUGUAAUUUUGAAGAAGGUAUCUUUGGGUCUGGCUCUUGUCUAUGUUUCUUGGAACAGAACGUCACAGAGGGUGAGAAUCCCGUGCGAUGAGAUGAUCCAGGCCUAUGUAAAGUUCCUUCGAAGAGUCGAGUUGUUUGGGAAUGCAGCUCUAAGUGGGUGGUAAAUUCCAUCUAAAGCUAAAUAUUGGCGAGAGACCGAUAGCGAACAAGUACAGUGAUGGAAAGAUGAAAAGAACUUUGAAAAGAGAGUGAAAAAGUACGUGAAAUUGUUGAAAGGGAAGGGCUUGAGAUCAGACUUGGUAUUUUGUAUGUUACUUCUUCGGGGGUGGCCUCUACAGUUUAUCGGGCCAGCAUCAGUUUGGGCGGUAGGAGUAAUUGCGUUGGAAAUGUGGCACGGCCUCGGUUGUGUGUUAUAGCCUUCGUCGGAUAACUGCCAGCCUAGGAACUGGAGGACUGCGGUUUAUACCUAGGAUGUUGGCAUAAUGAUCUUAAGUCGCCCGUCUUGUAAC
rnacentral:rRNA from 1 species